CAUGAAACCCGGAAGUAUCUACUGGCGGAAAAAAUGGACACAAACGACACUCAGAACGGUGUUGAAGAGUGGUGUAAUUUCUGUUUAAUUGCCAGCGGUGAAGACCAAGAAGCAGACGUUUUACAGAAGGCUGGGAUUCCACCAACCUCCUUACACGUCAGUGGAUCACCUCCACCUGCAUGUCCUCGCCCCAGCCAGUAAGAUAUCUGAUGUCAUGCUGUUUAAAUUCAUACCCGGAACAGCGUAUUUUGUUAACGAAAAAAAGCUAAGGAA